GACAGAGGUCCCGAGCGUUGUCCGGAAUCACUGGGCGUAAAGGGCGCGUAGGUGGCCGAGCAAGGUCGCGGUGAAAGCCCUGGGCUCAACCUAGGAAGUGCACUCGAAACUUCCGAGCUGGAGUGCUGGAGAGGAAGGCGGAAUUCUCGGUGUAGAGGUGAAAUUCGUAGAUAUCGAGAGGAACACCGGUGGCGAAGGCGGCCUUCUGGACAGCCACUGACGCUGAGACGCGAAAGCGUGGGGAGCAAACAGG
rnacentral:rRNA from 1 species